rnacentral:rRNA from 1 species
ACAGAGGGUGCGAGCGUUAAUCGGAAUUACUGGGCGUAAAGGGCGCGUAGGCGGUUUGGUAAGUCGGAUGUGAAAGCCCUGGGCUUAACCUGGGAAUUGCAUUCGAUACUGCCCGACUAGAGUAUGGUAGAGGAAAGCGGAAUUCCGGGUGUAGCGGUGAAAUGCGUAGAUAUCCGGAGGAACAUCAGUGGCGAAGGCGGCUUUCUGGACCAAUACUGACGCUGAGGCGCGAAAGCGUGGGGAGCAAACAGG